rnacentral:lncRNA from 1 species
GGAGUCCCUUCUUGCUUACGGAGCUCGGGGACUUGUAGGGGCUAGGCGCCUCUCGGACAUUGUUUAUGCUUGAUGACUUCAUGAUUAUAACUCCCCAACCAAGAAGCUCCUCUUACUCGGGGACUUCGGGGACUUGUAGAUACCUCUACUAGCAAGGCUAGUUUGCUACCUCACCAAGCAUAAACAACACCCUCAUGGGAUCCAACCGCUACUUGCAUCUUGUAGCCCUAUGUUCAAGCUACGCUACGGUAUCCGGAAGUCGCAAAUCCGUCGCCG